rnacentral:rRNA from 1 species
AUUGAACGCUGGCGGCAUGCCUUACACAUGCAAGUCGAACGGCAGCACGGGUGCUUGCACCUGGUGGCGAGUGGCGAACGGGUGAGUAAUACAUCGGAACAUGUCCUGUAGUGGGGGAUAGCCCGGCGAAAGCCGGAUUAAUACCGCAUACGAUCCACGGAUGAAAGCGGGGGACCUUCGGGCCUCGCGCUAUAGGGUUGGCCGAUGGCUGAUUAGCUAGUUGGUGGGGUAAAGGCCUACCAAGGCGACGAUCAGUAGCUGGUCUGAGAGGACGACCAGCCACACUGGGACUGAGACACGGCCCAGACUCCUACGGGAGGCAGCAGUGGGGAAUUUUGGACAAUGGGCGAAAGCCUGAUCCAGCAAUGCCGCGUGUGUGAAGAAGGCCUUCGGGUUGUAAAGCACUUUUAUCCGGAAAGAAAUCCUUGACUCUAAUACAGUCGGGGGAUGACGGUACCGGAAGAAUAAGCACCGGCUAACUACGUG